AUGUGAUCGUCUCUCGCAUAUCAAUAAGCGGAGGAAAAGAAACUAACAAGGAUUCCCCUAGUAACGGCGAGUGAAGCGGGAAGAGCUCAAAUUUGAAAUCUUAAAGGGUUUCCCUUUACGAAUUGUAGUUUAAAGAAGUGUUUUCUGUUGAGGUUUUGGUAAAAGUUCUUUGGAAUAGGACAUCAUAGAGGGUGAGAAUCCCGUAUUUGACCUUUACUUUCAACUUUGUGAUACACUUUCAAAGAGUCGGAUUGUUUGGGAAUGCAGUCCAAAAUGGGUGGUAAAUUUCAUCUAAAGCUAAAUAUUGGCGAGAGACCGAUAGCGAACAAGUACCGUGAGGGAAGGAUGAAAAGAACUUUGAAAAGAGAGUUAAACAGUACGUGAAAUUGUCAAAAGGGAAGCGUUUGACACCAGUGUUGUUUUUCUGAAAAUCAAUUAAAGAACUGUUUAUGCUAAGUUGUUUAGACUUUAUCAGCUAACUGUUUAGUUUUGAGCUUUUCUUUAAUGCACUUUUCAGUUAACAAGUCAACAUCAAUUUCUUUUGCUGUAAAAAAGCUUGAGGAAGGUGGCUUGAGAUUCGUCUUAGGUGUUUAUAGCCUCUUGCCUAUGCAGUCGGAGAGAUUGAGGUCUGCAGCGUAGAUCCUUCGGGGCUAAAUGCAUUUGUGCUAAGUUAUAGCAUUUUAUAGACAACUUGUUGACUAUGAUUUGUCUUGUAGCUUACUCGCUUAUGUUAUUUUACCUACGCUUAGGAUGUUGAAGACUCUACAGAGAUA
rnacentral:rRNA from 1 species